ensembl:ncRNA C02B10.74 ncRNA
CUUGUCCAUCAAAGUAAGUAUUUAGUCGGUAAUAGUGGUGCUUGAGCCGGUUGAUGAACUCGUGUCGAUGACACUUAACGAAUCCAUCAUACCUUACCGAC